UUUCCGUAGGUGAACCUGCGGAAGGAUCAUUGUCGAAGCCUGCCCAGCAGAACGACCCGCGAACUUGUAUAAACAACCGGGGGCAGGGGCGAUCUCGCCCCGUGCCCUCGAACGGCAGGGAGACACUCGUGCCUUCAUGUCGAACAACGAGCCCCGGCGCGGUCUGCGCCAAGGAACUUCAAUUAAAGAGUGCCUCCGGUCGCCUCGGAAACGAUGCGCGUGUCGGAGGCGAAUCUUGUACAAAACCAUAACGACUCUCGGCAACGGAUAUCUCGGCUCUC
rnacentral:misc_RNA from 1 species